UACAGAGGGUGCGAGCGUUGUCCGGAAUCACUGGGCGUAAAGGGCGCGUAGGUGGCCCGGUCAGUUCGUGGUGAAAGCGCGGGGCUCAACCCUGCGUCGGCCAUGAAUACUGCCGCGGCUGGAGCACUGUAGAGGCAGGCGGAAUUCCGGGUGUAGCGGUGAAAUGCGCAGAUAUCAGGAAGAACACCCGUGGCGAAGGCGGCUCUCGUGGGACGGUACUGACGCUGAGACGCGAAAGCUGGGG
rnacentral:rRNA from 1 species